rnacentral:tRNA from 1 species
GCCAACCUAGCUCAGUUGGUAGAGCAGUGCAUUCGUAAUGCAUUGGUCGUGGGUUCGAUUCCCAUGGUUGGCU